UGUGAACAAAAUUUGGAGUAUAUUUGUCUCUGUCUCUCUGCCUGGCUUCUCCAGAAUUUGGAAACUAGUUGUGAGUAUUCUUAAUUUAUGGCCAUAUAGUUGUUUGCAUCAGUGCAAUAAGAAUCCAUUUUCUUUUGCAACAGCACACAAUUGGAGAAACUGGUUGCAACAAGACACAAUUGGAGAACCUGGUUGCUUUACUGAGGCUUUGACUGGAAAGACGAACCCUGCUUGUUCCUGUGAACCAAACAGCAAUCUCUGGCUGCAGCUCAGAAAAAAACAAAAGGGAUGGGUGACGUAAAAAUCUGGAUCAGUAUUCUCCUUCUGAGCAGUUAUCCUGCAAAUCCUUCCAGGUGAUGAAAAUAAAUAGGAUGCCCACCACCCAGAGGUUUCCUUUUUGGGAAAGUAAGACAAAGGGAGCUAACCAAAGCCAAGCCCCAUGCGUCCAAAUCUUAGCAAGCAUAACUAUAGCCACCAGUGAUCUAGGGGUGUCACAAGACAUCCUUUUCUCUCCCUGGUUGGAGGAGGACUCAAUUCCACCGCUUCAUCUCAGCAUUCAGCUUAUAAUAAGGAGUCCACGCAACCCCCCCUCAAGACGUAUUUUUGUCCCAAAUUCAAUUCCAAACUUCAGCUCAAAGCCCUAGGAAAGAAAACUGGAUCUGAGGAAUCCAGAGACAGAUGAUAAUGGCAGUUAAAAGACACAGCACAGGCUAUCAAACUCCAAAUGAUCAUGCAACCAGAGCCUCGGACGAUGGCCUUUUCUGCUGGGGAUACUUAGAUAAGCCUCUGAGGGAGAUCUGACUGCUGUUUUCCCCAAAACAGUGCCCCCUGUUAGCAGAAAGCAGUUAAUUUUGGUCAUCAUCCUUAUCCUUACCUUAUUCUAACCGCCGUUGGAUGUACUUCUUUAGAGGGGGGAAUAAGACAGCCAAAUGCCUAGGCAGAUAUAAAGGUGUCCCCAGAGAAUCUCCGACCCACCCCACAAGUGUUUACAUCAGAUGCUUCUGUACAGAUGAGGGAACAUGCCCAGGGCUUCAUCUGAGCCUGCUCACAUGUGCACUGGGAGAAUGGGGUGGAGCCACAGGCAGGGGGAGGAGCCUGCUCUUCAGUUCCUGUGUGGUGGCCUGGGAUUCAACCUGUGAGGUGGGAGGCCUGUUAAUAGGACUCCAUCUCACUUUGCUGAGUUUUUUCUUUUUUUUUCCCCCUUUUGCCCAAUAAAAUGCUGCUCUGCACACCCUUCAAUGUGUCCACAUGUCUAAAGUCUCCUGGUCAUGUGACAUGAACCCAGUUUUAGCUGAACUAAGGAGCAAAAUUCUGCAACAAUGAUGCCUUAAAGACAUUUCUGCCUGCACAAUCAUUUCUUUUCUUUUCUUUUCUUUCUUUUUUUUUUUUUUUUUGAGACAGAGUCUCACUCUGUCACCCAGGCUAGAGUGCAGUGGCAUGAUCUCGGCUCACUGCAACCU
rnacentral:lncRNA from 1 species